GACGAACGCUGGCGGCGUGCUUAACACAUGCAAGUCGAACGGAAAGGCCCUGCUUUUGUGGGGUGCUCGAGUGGCGAACGGGUGAGUAACACGUGAGUAACCUGCCCUUGACUUUGGGAUAACUUCAGGAAACUGGGGCUAAUACCGGAUAGGAGCUCCUGCUCCAUGGUGGGGGUUGGAAAGUUUCGGCGGUUGGGGAUGGACUCGCGGCUUAUCAGCUUGUUGGUGGGGUAGUGGCUUACCAAGGCUUUGACGGGUAGCCGGCCUGAGAGGGUGACCGGCCACAUUGGGACUGAGGUACGGCCCAGACUCGUACGGGAGGCAGCAGUGGGGAAUAUUGCACAAUGGGCGGAAGCCUGAUGCAGCAACGCCGCGUGCGGGAUGACGGCCUUCGGGUUGUAAACCGCUUUCGCCUGUGACGAAGCGUGAGUGACGGUAAUGGGUAAAGAAGCACCGGCUAACUACGUG
rnacentral:rRNA from 1 species